rnacentral:tRNA from 2 species
GCCGCGAUGGCGGAAUUGGUAGACGCGCACGACUCAAAAUCGUGUGGAGUUUCUCCAUGAGAGUUCGAUUCUCUCUCGCGGCA